AGGUUCCGCUCCCAUCUGCGCGCAGCCAGCGCCGAGCCCCCGCGCUCCCCCGCUCCGCUCCCGGCGGAUUAUCCCCCCCUGUUUAAAGCGGGGUGGGGGGCGUCAGGAGAUUCCCCCCUCCCUCCCCAAGGCACAGUCACAAGCCCCCUCUCGCUGCCCUACACUGUCACACACCCACUCCCAGCAGCACCCACCCCACCCCCGAAAUUAAUAUAUCUCCUCAGAAACUUCCCGGGAGGAUCCUGCCCGGCUCUUCCCUCUCCGUGGGGUCGGAUCAGACCCACGCGUGACGCCUUCCCCGGGGGGUGGCUGGCUCCAUGCGAGCCCGGGUUAGCCGGAGCUGGGCCCCCCCGCCCGGCGCUGCCCCGGCCCGGGCGCAGGGAAAGCCGCACUUCCCGUCUCCUCCCCGCGCACCUCGUGGAAGAGGAGGGGUGUGGGAGCGUAACCCUGUCGGCGCCGGUGCCAGCCGAGUGGCCUUCAUCGGCAACGCCGAAGAAAGAAAGAAAAAAAGGAAUAAUAAAUACAUUAAAAUCCCAUUUUCCAGCGGCCUCCCGCUUCCCUGCGCGCACCCCCUCGAUCAGCAGCCGCCGGGGCCGGGGCCGGGGCCGGGGCCGAGCCAGCGCCCACCACAACAAUGAUAGCGGCGGCCGGAGCCGAGCUGCGAGCGGGGGAAGAGCCGCAGAGCCACCCCCAGAUUGGCGGGGGGAAGGAAAGCGCCCGGUUCCCGGCCUGGAGGUGUCGUUGAAAGAAAGCAACUUUGCCGGGGAGGGGAACACGGCGCGGGGGCAGCGGCAGGGGGGUGCACCAGCCCGGCGGCCGCGGGGACCGGCGGGGAUGGGCGUGCGGCGCGGCGGCCUCCCGAGGCGGCUCCGGGCCCGGGGGGGACACAGGGGGACCCCGCUACGGUACCGGCGGCGUUUGGGGAAGGGGGGCACGCAGCUUCGGACCCCCCCCACCGCCACGCGUGGGGACCCCCCCGCUGCCGGCGCUCGGGAAGCUCCUACCGGGGAGAGCGGCCGCGCAGUGCCCGGGCGGCGGGAGGCCGGGGCCGGGGGGCGAGGCGGCCCCCAGCACCCCCCUAGAGGCGGGCGCUUCCCUCCUCCCUCCCUGCUCCCUCCCCUCUGA
rnacentral:lncRNA from 1 species